AGAAUUAUAUAUAACACGGACUCUUUUUCAAAGACAUCAGCUUUGCUAAAAAUAGGAGUCAAAACACUUCGAAGCCACAAAAGUUAACACUAUAUUUUCGCAGGUAUGGUUGGAAAAAAAAAUUAAGUCAAAUAUGGAUUGCAUCAUUUCCCUGUAAAAUUGCAAGAAGAAUUUUCCCUUGACUUGAUGUCAU